rnacentral:lncRNA from 1 species
AUGAGGAUGUUCACUCUUCUCACCACCCUUCUCCAGCUGACCCUGCACACCCAGGCAGAAUCUCCCCAAGGAAGCACUGAGGAGGCUCCAGACCAGGAACAGUUGGCCAAGGAGGACCAGGAUAUUUCUAUAUAAUUUGGAGGGAAUAAAAGCACUGCUAUCCAAAAAGUAGAUGUGAAAUCAGGCUUGACCUGCUAUUGUAGACUCACAGGCUGUGUUAUUGGAGAACGGCUUUCUGGGGCCUUUGGUUACCACGGCCACAUCUUCCGACUCUGGUGCCACUGA